CGAACGCUGGCGGCGUGCCUAAUACAUGCAAGUAGAACGCUGAAGAGAGGAGCUUGCUCUUCUUGGAUGAGUUGCGAACGGGUGAGUAACGCGUAGGUAACCUGCCUUGUAGCGGGGGAUAACUAUUGGAAACGAUAGCUAAUACCGCAUAACAAUGGGUGACACAUGUCAUUUAUUUGAAAGGGGCAAUUGCUCCACUACAGGAUGGACCUGCGUUGUAUUAGCUAGUAGGUGAGGUAACGGCUCACCUAGGCGACGAUACAUAGCCGACCUGAGAGGGUGAUCGGCCACACUGGGACUGAGACACGGCCCAGACUCCUACGGGAGGCAGCAGUAGGGAAUCUUCGGCAAUGGGGGCAACCCUGACCGAGCAACGCCGCGUGAGUGAAGAAGGUUUUCGGAUCGUAAAGCUCUGUUGUAAGUCAAGAACGAGUGUGAGAGUGGAAAGUUCACACUGUGACGGUAGCUUACCAGAAAGGGACGGCUAACUACGUGCCAGCAGCCGCGGUAAUACGUAGGUCCCGAGCGUUGUCCGGAUUUAUUGGGCGUAAAGCGAGCGCAGGCGGUUUGAUAAGUCUGAAGUUAAAGGCUGUGGCUCAACCAUAGUUCGCUUUGGAAACUGUCAAACUUGAGUGCAGAAGGGGAGAGUGGAAUUCCAUGUGUAGCGGUGAAAUGCGUAGAUAUAUGGAGGAACACCGGUGGCGAAAGCGGCUCUCUGGUCUGUAACUGACGCUGAGGCUCGAAAGCGUGGGGAGCGAACAGGAUUAGAUACCCUGGUAGUCCACGCCGUAAACGAUGAGUGCUAGGUGUUGGAUCCUUUCCGGGAUUCAGUGCCGCAGCUAACGCAUUAAGCACUCCGCCUGGGAGUACGACCGCAAGGUU
rnacentral:rRNA from 1 species